ensembl:lncRNA non-compact myelin associated protein
GUAAGUCGGUCUGGAUAAGGGCGUCUGAUAAAGGCUGUAAAUGUAAAUGUUCCGAGAUGCACCACACUCUGCAGAGCUGAAUCCUCCACGGCUUUGCUCAACUUUUAAAUGAGGCUUGAUGAGAUAACAGAUCCAAAUCACACACACACACACACACACACACACACACACACACACACACACACACAGCCUUUACAGCACAGUAACCUCGCACUGUGGCUUGGUCUCUCACACACACACACACACAGACACACACACUCACACACUCUGGAUGGGGUUUUGAAAUGAAGAAAUCAUCUCUUUAGAUCCACGGCUGGAGGCCAGAGAUUGGAUUUUUUUUUUUUUUUUUUUUUUAUGAGGAGCGAUGACACGCCCAGAGCCAGGCAGACCUGAAAAACCAGCUGCUAGUGGUGCUGAGAUUUCCUCCACACACACACACACACUGCCUCAUGUGGGAAGCGCUGCGGUACUGAGGGCUCAGGUGGACCCUUCGCCAUCCCUGUCGUCGGCCCACCUCCACCUCCCAGACGGACAGAGAGAGAGAGAGAGAGAGAGAGAGAGAGAGAGAGAGGGAGAGCGAGUGGACUAUGCCCUCCUCGGUAGAGGAAGCGGGGGCGAGGAGGAGCUGAGCCUCGGGGGCGAAGACUCGGACGGAGUCCGCCAGACUCCCAGCGCGACUCAGGGCCUCGCCGAAGAUGCAAACGUCAACUGCGCAGCCGGAGGCCAACAUCACCAGAACCACCACCACCACCACCACCAAGUCCAGAGAACAAAUACUCACCCAGAGUUCCGGAGCGAUGAUAGCCGUCAUCGUGAUCGGAGUCAUCAUCAUCCUGACAAUUCUGCUCAUCGUUCUGAAGACGUACAACAGGAGGACUCACGCGUCCAGGAUGCUCGGCUCGGGAGCCAGCGCCAGGCCUCGCAAGAAGGCCUCCUCCACCACGCAAACCAACCUGGCCAUGAGGACCACGGGGCCCGACUCCACGUCGGGGAGCUUCACUCAGUCCCAGGGCCCGUCGGAACGCGGCUUCCAGCUGCCCCGAGCAGACCUGGGCGCGGCGGCCAUCGCCGAGCGGCACAGCGUCCGCAGCGGCUCCGCCGCGGCGACGAUACACGACACGCCGUCCAUAGGGGACACAUAGGGGCCGGACCGGCACGCGUUGGACUGCCACGUGGUGCGCGAGCAGAGGGCCCACGCCGGACAAAGCCAGAAGCGACGUGGGCGGACUGGCGGGUGGAGGUGGACCCUGGGGGCCCCCAGGUGUCCCCCCGGACGGACUGUGCCACGCUACUUUGUUUUGCCGAGUAUUUUGACAGAACGUUCUUCUGGAAUCUACGGCGAAUGUCCCUCAGUUCUGACGAUUCAAGGUUCCAAUAA